rnacentral:rRNA from 1 species
UACAACGAAACUGCGAAUGGCUCGGUAAAACAGCAAUAAUUUAUUCGGGGGUAAUUGCUACUUGGAUAACCGUAGUAAAGCUAGAGCUAAUACGUGCUACAAAGGCGAGAUUCGCUCUCGUGGUACUAAGUAUUAGGUACAACCCAAUUUUAUUGGUGAUUCAUACUUAUCUUCUGAUCGCACUCUGUGCGACGCCCCGAAUAAAUUUCUGACCUAUCAACUUCGAUGGUAAGGUAGUGUCUUACCAUGGUUGUGACGGGUAACGGACCGUGGGUGCGGGAUUCCGGAGAGGGAGCCUGAGAAACGGCUACCACAUCCAAGGAAGGCAGCAGGCGCGCAACUUACCCAAUCCGAACUUCGGGAGGUAGUGACAAAAAAUAUCAAUAAGGGGACCGAUGGUCUUCUUAAUUGGAAUGAAAACAAUCUAAACACCUUAUUAAGGAACCAGCAGAGGGCAAGUCUGGUGCCAGCAGCCGCGGUAAUUCCAGCUCUGUAAGCGUAUACCAAAGUUGUUGCAGUUAAAACGCUCGUAGUCGAACUUUGGCGUGAGUUACGGAGACUCCUAAUGGACGUUGAUGUAACUCCGCCUUUGUGGAGGGGGGUGUGGUGGUACUUUAUUGUAUUGCUGCGCUUCCGCCACUGUUUACUGUGAAAAAAUUAGAGUGUUCAAAGCGAGCGUUUGCCAUGAAUACAUUAGCAUGGAAUAAUAGAAUAGGACCUGGUCCUGUUUUAUUGGUUUGUCUGUAUCAGGUAAUGAUUAACAGGGACGGUCGGGGGCAUUUGUAUUCCAGCGUUAGAGGUGAAAUUCUUGGAUCGCUGGAAGACAAACAGCUGCGAAAGCGUCUGCCAAGGACGUUUUCAUUGAUCAAGAACGAAAGUAAGGGGAUCGAAGACGAUCAGAUACCGUCGUAGUCUUUACUAUAAACGAUGAUGACUAAGGAUCAGCCGUGGCCUAUUGGUACGGUUGGCACUUUCCGGGAAACCAAAGUUUUUGAUUUCUGGGGGGAGUAUGGUCGCAAGUCUGAAACUUAAAGGAAUUGACGGAAGGGCAUCACCGGGUGUGGAGCCUGCGGCUUAAUUUGACUCAACACGGGAAAACUUACCAGGUCCAGACAUAGUAAGGAUUGACAGAUUGAGAGCUCUUUCUUGAUUCUAUGGUUGGUG